rnacentral:tRNA from 1 species
ACUUAAAUAGUUUAAUUAAAAUUUUAAUUUGUGGGAUUAAAGAUAUGAUAAGAUCAUUUUAGGUA